UACGUAGGUGGCAAGCGUUAUCCGGAAUUACUGGGCGUAAAGCGCACGCAGGCGGUCUUUUAAGUUUGACGUGAAAGCUCCCGGCUUAACUGGGAGAGGUCGUUGAAUACUGGAAGACUUGAGGCAAUGAGAGGGGUGUAGAAUUCCCGGUGUAGUGGUGGAAUGCGUAGAUAUCGGGGGGAAUACCAGUGGCGAAAGCGACUUCCUGGACCAGUACCGACGUUCAGGCACGAAAGCGUGGGGAGCAAACAGG
rnacentral:rRNA from 1 species